rnacentral:rRNA from 1 species
AGAGUUUGAUCCUGGCUCAGGACGAACGCUGGCGGCGUGCCUAACACAUGCAAGUCGAACGGAGUAAGUAGCAAUACUUGCUUAGUGGCGAACGGGUGAGUAACGCGUAGACAACCUACCUCUAAAAUGGGGACAACACCGCGAAAGUGGUGCUAAUACCGAAUGUGGUAUCUUGGCUGCAUGGCUAAGAUAAGAAAGAUGGCCACUACAUGUAAGCUAUCGUUUAGAGAUGGGUCUGCGUCUGAUUAGCUAGUUGGUGAGGUAACUGCUCACCAAGGCGACGAUCAGUAGCCGGUCUGAGAGGAUGAACGGCCACACUGGGACUGAGACACGGCCCAGACUCCUACGGGAGGCAGCAGUGGGGAAUCUUCCGCAAUGGACGAAAGUCUGACGGAGCAACGCCGCGUGAGUGAAGAAGGUCUUCGGAUUGUAAAGCUCUGUCGUUUGGGACGAACGUAUUAUGUGUGAAUAAUGCAUAAUAAUGACGGUACCAAAGGAGGAAGCCACGGCUAACUACGUGCCAGCAGCCGCGGUAAUACGUAGGUGGCAAGCGUUGUCCGGAAUUAUUGGGCGUAAAGGGCGUGUAGGUGGGUAAUUAAGUCUUGUGUCUAAGUGCGGUGCUCAACUCCGUAUGGGCGCAGGAAACUGGAUAUCUUGAGUGCAGGAGAGGAAAGUGGAUUCCCAGUGUAGCGGUGAAAUGCGUAGAUAUUGGGAGGAACACCAGUGGCGAAGGCGACUUUCUGGACUGUUACUGACACUGAGGCGCGAAAGCUAGGGGAGCGAACGGGAUUAGAUACCCCGGUAGUCCUAGCCGUAAACGAUGGGUACUAGGUGUAGAGGGUAUCGACCCCUUCUGUGCCGCAAGCAAACACUAUA